GUGGAUGGGCUGUGCAGGAAGGGAGCUGUCAGCGAGCUGUUACUUACCUUUAUAGCAGCUCCUGUAAGCUCCCUUCUCCACCGUGCUGUUCAG